rnacentral:rRNA from 1 species
AUCAACUUUCGAUGGUAGGAUAGAGGCCUACCAUGGUUUUAACGGGUAACGGGGAAUUAGGGUUCGAUUCCGGAUAGGGAGCCUGAGAAACGGCUACCACUUCUAAGGAAGGCAGCAGGCGCGCUAAUUACCCAAUCCCGACACGGGGAGGUAGUGACAAUAAAUAACAAUACAGGGCCUUUACAGGUCUUGUAAUUGGAAUAAGUACAAUUUAAAUCUCUUAACGAGGAACAAUUGGAGGGCAAGUCUGGUGCCAGCAGCCGCGGUAAUUCCAGCUCCAAUAGCGUAUAUUAAAGUUGUUGCAGUUAAAAAGCUCGUAGUUGAAUUUUGGAUUCUUCCAAUUGGUCCAUCUUUUAGAUGAGUACUGGUUGUGUGGGGUCUAUCCGCCUGGUAAUACGUAAUGUCCUUUAUUGGAUGUUGCGGGUAGUCAGGACCUUUACCUUGAAAAAAUUAGAGUGUUUAAAGCAGGCUUAUGCCGGAAUACAUUAGCAUGGAAUAAUAGAAUAGGACGAAGUUGUUUUAUUUUGUUGGUUUCUAGGACAACCGUAAUGAUUAAUAGGGAUAGUUGGGGGCAUUAGUAUUCAAUUGUCAGAGGUGAAAUUCUUGGAUUUAUUGAAGACUAACUACUGCGAAAGCAUUUGCCAAGGAUGUUUUCAUUAAUCAAGAACGAAAGUUAGGGGAUCGAAGACGAUCAGAUACCGUCGUAGUCUUAACCAUAAACUAUGCCGACUAGGGAUCGGGCGAUGUUGUUUCCAUGACUCGCUCGGCACCUUAUGGGAAACCAAAGUGUUUGGGUUC